rnacentral:misc_RNA from 1 species
AUGGGCUGACCCCAGGGAAGAUAGCUGAACCAUUCAAAAGCAAAUAACAAACUUAUAAAAGAAUAUCAUAACCAAUAAAUUUUAGUUUAGUGGUAUUAGAGUCGUUUUUCGCAUUCUGCAUGUCAAAUUUUGCCUUUGAUAAUAGAUUUGUACUAGAUGGACAGAGGAGAGAGACGUAAGCUAGAGAGAUAAACUCACAUAGUAAGCAGUGACGGUUCCAGCAGAGUUUCCAGGA